GACGAACGCUGGCGGCGUGCCUAAUACAUGCAAGUAGAACGCUGAAGAGAGGAGCUUGCUCUUCUUGGAUGAGUUGCGAACGGGUGAGUAACGCGUAGGUAACCUGCCUUGUAGCGGGGGAUAACUAUUGGGAACGAUAGCUGAUACCGCAUAACAAUGGAUGACACAUGUCAUUUAUUUGAAAGGGGCAAUUGUUCCACUACAAGAUGGACCUGCGUUGUAUUAGCUAGUAGGUGAGGUAAUGGCUCACCUAGGCGACGAUACAUAGCCGACCUGAGAGGGUGAUCGGCCACACUGGGACUGAGACACGGCCCAGACUCCUACGGGAGGCAGCAGUAGGGAAUCUUCGGCAAUGGGGGCAACCCUGACCGAGCAACGCCGCGUGAGUGAAGAAGGUUUUCGGAUCGUAAAGCUCUGUUGUAAGUCAAGAACGGGUGUGAGAGUGGAAAGUUCACACUGUGACGGUAGCUUACCAGAAAGGGACGGCUAACUACGUGCCAGCGGCCGCGGUAAUACGUAGGUCCCGAGCGUUGUCCGGAUUUAUUGGGCGUAAAGCGAGCGCAGGCGGUUUGAUAAGUCUGAAGUUAAAGGCUGUGGCUCAACCAUAGUUCGCUUUGGAAACUGUCAAACUUGAGUGCAGAAGGGGAGAGUGGAAUUCCAUGUGUAGCGGUGAAAUGCGUAGAUAUAUGGAGGAACACCGGUGGCGAAAGCGGCUCUCUGGUCUGUAACUGACGCUGAGGCUCGAAAGCGUGGGGAGCGAACAGGAUUAGAUACCCUGGUAGUCCACGCCGUAAACGAUGAGUGCUAGGUGUUGGAUCCUUUCCGGGAUUCAGUGCCGCAGCUAACGCAUUAAGCACUCCGCCUGGGGAGUACGACCGCAAGGUUGAAACUCAAAGGAAUUGACGGGGGCCCGCACAAGCGGUGGAGCAUGUGGUUUAAUUCGAAGCAACGCGAAGAACCUUACCAGGUCUUGACAUCCCGAUGCUAUUUCUAGAGAUAGAAAGUUACUUCGGUACAUCGGUGACAGGUGGUGCAUGGUUGUCGUCAGCUCGUGUCGUGAGAUGUUGGGUUAAGUCCCGCAACGAGCGCAACCCCUAUUGUUAGUUGCCAUCAUUCAGUUGGGCACUCUAGCGAGACUGCCGGUAAUAAACCGGAGGAAGGUGGGGAUGACGUCAAAUCAUCAUGCCCCUUAUGACCUGGGCUACACACGUGCUACAAUGGUUGGUACAACGAGUUGCGAGUCGGUGACGGCGAGCUAAUCUCUUAAAGCCAAUCUCAGUUCGGAUUGUAGGCUGCAACUCGCCUACAUGAAGUCGGAAUCGCUAGUAAUCGCGGAUCAGCACGCCGCGGUGAAUACGUUCCCGGGCCU
rnacentral:rRNA from 1 species